AGCAGCCGCGGUAAUUCCAGCUCCAAUAGCGUAUAUUAAAGUUGUUGCAGUUAAAAAGCUCGUAGUUGAAUUUCGGGAUUGGCGCAUCGGUCGUGCCUUACGGGGUAUGAACUGGUGCAGUCAAUUUCUCACUUUCUGGAGAACCGUGAUGUCCUUAAUUGGGUGCCGCGGGGAACCAGGACCUUUACUUUGAAAAAAUUAGAGUGUUUAAAGCAGGCAUUUUUGCUUGAAUACAUUAGCAUGGAAUAAUAAAAUAGGACGGCAUGGUUCUAUUUUGUUGGUUUCUAGGACCACCGUAAUGAUUAAUAGGGAUAGUUGGGGGCAUUAGUAUUCAAUUGUCAGAGGUGAAAUUCUUGGAUUUAUUGAAGACUAACUACUGCGAAAGCAUUUGCCAAGGAUGUUUUCAUUAAUCAAGAACGAAAGUUAGGGGAUCGAAGACGAUCAGAUACCGUCGUAGUCUUAACCAUAAACUAUGCCGACUAGGAAUCAGACGAUGUUAAUUUUUUAAUGACUCGUUUGGCACCUUACG
rnacentral:rRNA from 1 species